UUGGAAACUUCUUAGACUCAACUCCAAUCUGAACCACUGUGCACCCAAGGCUCAUAUUCCUCAUUCAUCUUGCUCAGCCCGCACAAUUGGCUGCCAAAAAUAUUGCCACACCAUCGUCGCCGACUGUGUCCUUUAACUUGGACACGAGAGUCAGGCAGUCUGGCAGCCUGGCUGCUCUGCCUUCUACUUUCUACUUUCUGGAGGUCCUGGUCCCAAGCGAGGCUCUUCUGUUACGCCGCUGUUAUCCUGCAGACCGAGAGGGUCCUGAGAAAUGACACCCAUGAGUUUAGGAUGAACACGACGCCACGACAGCCACCCAAUCCCCCCAGAAAGUAACGCCUCCGAGGCGAUGCUGCCGCCUUUUCCCCAUAUAUGUCCGUAUUGGCUUAACUGGCUUUGCUUCAACACCCUCUCAUCCGCCCUGAGUGACCGCUGCCAACUGUUGGUGUUACGCAUACGCCACGUUGCAUGCGUCUUGAAUAUUUUAUGUCGGAAAUCUGGGGCCCGGCAAAAAUGACAGCUGCGUGUGGAAAAUAAUUAAGGCGCAAUUAUAAUGACCCUGGCCACGAACCACAGGCACUCGCCACCCAUCACCACCCAUCAGCACUGAAACCGCCCGCCUGUUGGCAUUGCAAGUGUUGCAUGCAACACUAGACUCUGUGGCGCCGCCAACAAUGACGAAAGCAAUCCAUGGCCAUCGAGCUUGUGCGCUCCGUUGGCUUGUCCCCUUUCUACUCCUUUUGGAAAUUGAUGCGAAAUGUGGUUUCAGAUUUGUAUUUUUAGCAUCUUUAACAAGCAGUGUGGGUGUUAUUUUAUGAGAAAGCUACAUAUAAUUUGAUCCCUUUUUUCUUUAAGCUAUAAACAAACUUCUUAAUAAAUCCCAAACAUUUAAGACUUUAUAUUAAGCAGCAAAUUAAAUACUCAACAUAGUUUGUUUGCAGGAAACACGUUUUACUCAAUUUGUUGUUGAACAGCAAUACACGAUCACCGUUGACUCCUUUAAAUAAAUACAAUAUACAAAGUACAAUAAAUAACUAGUACAAAAUUUGUAAUUGAUGACGUUUUUCAGUUGA